rnacentral:rRNA from 1 species
GAUGAACGCUGGCGGCGUGCCUAAUACAUGCAAGUCGAGCGAACAGAUGAGGAGCUUGCUCCUCUGACGUUAGCGGCGGACGGGUGAGUAACACGUGGAUAACCUACCUAUAAGACUGGGAUAACUUCGGGAAACCGGAGCUAAUACCGGAUAAUAUAUUGAACCGCAUGGUUCAAUAGUGAAAGACGGUUUUGCCGUCACUUAUAGAUGGAUCCGCGCCGCAUUAGCUAGUUGGUAAGGUAACGGCUUACCAAGGCAACGAUGCGUAGCCGACCUGAGAGGGUGAUCGGCCACACUGGAACUGAGACACGGUCCAGACUCCUACGGGAGGCAGCAGUAGGGAAUCUUCCGCAAUGGGCGAAAGCCUGACGGAGCAACGCCGCGUGAGUGAUGAAGGUCUUCGGAUCGUAAAACUCUGUUAUUAGGAAAGAACAAAUGUGUAAGUAACUAUGCACGUCUUGACGGUACCUAAUCAGAAAGCCACGGCUAACUACGUG